GGAACAUUGAUUUUGACUCAUAGUUUCAGAUGGUUUGAAUAACAUCAUGUUGAAGAAGGGCUUGGCCCACAGAAAGUGAAGACUGGAUGUCCGAACCAGAAACUGGUCCAGGGGUGUUGAGACAAGGAGUUUUGCCGUUGAGAGGAUCCUUCCUGCUUGUCACUAAUUAAGG